UAGCUCAGUUGGUAGAGCGUUAGACUUUUAAUCUAACGGUCAGGGGUUCGAGCCCCCU
rfam:Strongyloides papillosus strain LIN genome assembly, scaffold: SPAL_contig0003589